GAAAUUUUAUUUUGUUGGCUUAUAUACACUUUUAUUUUUCGAACCCCCUAAACAAAAAUCCUGAAUCCACCACUAGAUUUGAUCAAAUAUUACCAUCAGAUCUAGACUAAGAUCUUUCAUUUCAUAAAUCCUGAUACAACUAAUAUAAGUAGACAUUCGGAGCUGGAUUAAGUCCUUUUUCCUCAAGCCAAUAUCAAGAUAUAAGCGCGAAUGAAAGAACUCAGCAUUCUAAACCGUUUUCUGUUCAAGAACGUAACAAGAAUUUACACUUCAGGCGCAACCUCCAUUGUUUCUCCAUCUGGAGCUUCUUUAUCGUCUGUAGCAGUUCCUUCUUCAGACUGCAUUUGAGUUGGAGAAGGCGGUAACAGCUGCACCACGUUUUCCACAAGCUCUUCCACUGUUUCUGCAGCUUCCCCAAGAAGGGCGUCAUAUUUCCUUAAUAUCGGAUAAAGUUCAACGAGUGAAGAUGGCCUGAUAUUGAUGAUGUUAACGAUCUCAUCCCCCUCGAGUUUGAUACAUUCACAUUGUUUCGGUUUGAUACAUUCACAUUUUUCCAGUUUGAUACAUUUACAUUUUCCCAUGAGUUCACCAAUCACUUGUCUUGUCUGAUUGCAAGCAGCAGUUUGCUCUAAAUAAUCAUAUACCUUGAACUCUGAUGGUGCAAUGGGGACUAUGACCCGCGUAGGAUCUCUUCCUGCACCUCUGGAGCGUAGAAAAUCAAGCACCUCAAAAUUUG
rnacentral:misc_RNA from 1 species